GGGCGCUUAGCUCAGUUGGGAGAGCGCCUGCCUUACAAGCAGGUGGUCGGGGGUUCAAGUCCCUCAGCGCCCACCA
rnacentral:tRNA from 4 species